rnacentral:rRNA from 1 species
UGAACGAGCUGUUGCUGGUCCUCAAACGGGGGCAUGUGCACGCUCUGUUCACACAUCCACUUACACCUGUGCACCCUCCGUAGUUCUAUGGUCUGGGGGGACGUGCCGCCUCCCUCCUGUAGUUCUAUGUUUUUACACACACACACUGUAGUGAAGUCUUAUGGAAUGCACACCGCGUUUAACGCAAUGCAAUACAACUUUCAGCAACGGAUCUCUUGGCUCUCGCAUCGAUGAAGAACGCAGCGAAAUGCGAUAAGUAAUGUGAAUUGCAGAAUUCAGUGAAUCAUCGAAUCUUUGAACGCACCUUGCGCCCCUUGGCUAUUCCGAGGGGCAUGCCUGUUUGAGUAUCAUGAACACCUCAACUCUCACGGUUCGUCGUGAAGAGCUUGGACUUUGGAGGUUUUGCUGGCCCCUAUGGUCAGCUCCUCUCAAAUGAAUCAGCUUGCCAGUUUUUGGUGGCGUCAUGGGUGUGAUAACUAUCUACGCUUGUGGUUGACCACCUGGUAACCUUCAGCAAUGGAGGUUUGCUGGAGCUUAUAAAUGUCUCCCCUCAGUGAAGACAUCUUUUUGAACGUUUGAUCUCAAAUCAGGUAGGACUACCCGCUGAACUUAAGCAUAUCAAUAAGCGGAG